AACAAAAUGGAGGGAGGGGGCAAACAUAUCUCAAUAAAAAACAGCAUUUGGAAGAUGUGGGUGUCCAUUUUGCAUGGUGUCUUGCUCAUCGUUUCUUUCCUUUUUUCCCCUUUCAACCUUUUCUUAAAUUUUCUGUUUGUAUUAUUU
rnacentral:ribozyme from 1 species